GUGGGGAAUAUUGGACAAUGGGCGAAAGCCUGAUCCAGCAAUGCCGCGUGAGUGAUGAAGGCCCUAGGGUUGUAAAGCUCUUUUACCCGGGAUGAUAAUGACAGUACCGGGAGAAUAAGCUCCGGCUAACUUCGUGCCAGCAGCCGCGGUAAUACGAGGGGAGCUAGCGUUGUUCGGAAUUACUGGGCGUAAAGCGCGCGUAGGCGGUUUUUUAAGUCAGAGGUGAAAGCCCGGGGCUCAACCCCGGAAUAGCCUUUGAAACUGGAAAACUAGAAUCUUGGAGAGGUCAGUGGAAUUCCGAGUGUAGAGGUGAAAUUCGUAGAUAUUCGGAAGAACACCAGUGGCGAAGGCGACUGACUGGACAAGUAUUGACGCUGAGGUGCGAAAGCGUGGGGAGCAAACAGGAUUAGAUACCCCAGUAGUCC
rnacentral:rRNA from 1 species